rnacentral:rRNA from 1 species
GACAGAGGGGGCAAGCGUUGCUCGGAAUUACUGGGCGUAAAGGGUGCGUAGGUGGCGCUGUAAGUCGGGUGUGAAAUCCUGGGGCUUAACCCCGGAACUGCAUUCGAUACUGCAGUGCUUGAGGACUGGAGAGGAGACUGGAAUUCAUGGUGUAGCAGUGAAAUGCGUAGAGAUCAUGAGGAAGACCAGUGGCGAAGGCGGGUCUCUGGACAGUUCCUGACACUGAGGCACGAAGGCCAGGGGAGCAAACGGG